ACGCUGGCGGUGUGCUUCACACAUGCAAGUCGAACGAGGUAGCAAUACCUAGUGGCGGACGGGUGAGUAACGCGUGGGAAUCUGCCUUGAGAUGGGGAUAACGAGCCGAAAGGCUCGCUAAUACCGCAUAUGCCGAAAGGUGAAAAGGAGUAAUCCGUCUUAAGAUGAGCCCGCGUCCGAUUAGCUAGUUGUGGGGUAAAGGCCUACCAAGGCGACGAUCGGUAGCUGGUCUGAGAGGAUGAUCAGCCACAAUGGGACUGAGACACGGCCCAUACUCCUACGGGAGGCAGCAGUGGGGAAUUUUACGCAAUGGGGAAACCCUGACGUAGCGACACCGCGUGAGCGAAGAAGCCCUUUGGGGUGUAAAGCUCUGUCAGCUGGAACGAAAAAAAUGACGGUACCAGCAGAGGAAGCAUCGGCUAACUACGUG
rnacentral:rRNA from 1 species